CUAUGACACUAAUGGGGCGAUAGCUCAAGCCAGGGAAUCAAGGUCUCAUCAAGGUCCGAACUCAAAUGACAGACUGAACCACAUGAUUGAGAAUCAUGUAUAAUGGUGACGUCGUUAUUCUCAAGGUUGCUUCUAUGGAUAACAUAUAGAUAUCCAUUGUCUAGGCCUACUACUCAGCCAUUUAUGAAAUGACUACAAAAGAGGUAUCAUCACUGAUGAUCAAGCUGAUUGGCUCUAGUGCAAGUGGGAGAUUGUUGGAAAUGUGCCCUAAAACCAUUCAUAUGAUGAUACUUUACGGACAUUUCACGUGUUAAACUAAUCUAGUUUAAUAUCAAGGGCAAACAUUAUUGUUUGAGCCGUCUCAUAUAAAUGUUAUAUGCUUAAACGAUAAGUCCAAAGGAAUAUGUGAUUGGGAGAAUGCGAUCUAAAGAAGUUAGAUUCAUGAGACCAUUCUUUCGUAGACACAU
rnacentral:lncRNA from 1 species